rnacentral:lncRNA from 1 species
AGAAGGCGAUGGAGACCAGCCUUGGCUGGACCACUUCCACCCCAGAGGCUCUUCACCGCCUCCCCAUCCAGACCCAAGGUUCCCUAGUGGUCCAGACGGUUUCCUUGGCAGCGCUGGCACCAGAGACAAUGUUUCACCAUGUUGGCCAGGCUGGUCUCGAACUCCUGACCUCAAGUGACCCGCCCGCCUUGUCCUCGAAUAGUGCUGGGAUUACAGGUGCGACCCACCACACCCGGCUGCAAUGUUUGUUUUAAUUACUUUUGGCAAGUAUUUCCUGAGUACCCCGAGCGUGCCAGGUGAAGAGAGACGGAUAAUAACAGCGCUAGCCAGCACGUAUUAAGCCUUGCAAAGCUGCACGGGCAUGAACUUGUGGCUUCAACACAACCUUAUGAGGCCCACCACAGCUGCCAAACAUGAGGUGAUGGGACAGCCCUCGUGGCCUCCACCCACCGCCCUGGUGGAGAAGUGAAACAUGAACCCACCAGUGCAAGACAGAGGAAGAGGCACCAGCGAAGGCAAGAAAACUGAAGCUGGACGCUGGCCUCCAGUCCUGUCUUUGCCAUUAGCAGCCCUGGGAUCUUAGUGCCUUCACCAGCCGAGCUUCAGUUUUUCCACCUGUAAAAUGGAGGGUUGAGGCCACAUCUUCCUUUUAGUCCUUCCUCUUCCCUUCCCUCCAGAGCAAGUGGUGUGGAAUUCUAAGGCAAAAGUCACCCUGAUUGAAUGGUGUAGAUUAGUCAAGAACCCAGCACUGAGGUCAGCCUCUGGAAGCAAUUUAAGAUGACCCAAGGAUUUGAGAUUCCAACCUCCUGCAUGCAAGCAGAAGUGCUUCCUCCUACAUAGGGCUGCCCUCCUUCCUGAGCAACUGGGCUGAUUUGUGGAAGAAACAGCUGUGCUUUCUGGUGAGCUCCAAUGCCAAACAUGUAGGCCUUGGAUCAGGCAGGAUGUUCCAUCAGCAGUCAUUGUUCACACCUGUGCUGUAUGGGCCAGGCAUCGAGCCAAUAGUAACACCUCCUUUCACCCCACAACAACCCUGUACCAAGCACACACCCAUUUUAUACCUGAGGAAGCUGAGGCUUGGAGAGGCACCGCGCCCAGGGUCAUGUAACCACAGGUGACAAAAUGAAGAUGCAAAUGCAACCUGAGUGAUUCCUUUUGAUGGAGCCACACCAUUUAAAUCAAUGCUGGGUGAUUGGAUUAUAUGUAAUUUUUUUAAAUUAAAAACAUUUUUUUGCCAGACACAGUUGCUCAUGCCUGUAAUCCCAGCACUUUGGGAGGCCGAGGCGAAGUGGAUCACUUGAGGUCAAGAGUCCGAGACCAGCCUGGCCAAUACAGUAAAACCCCGUCUCUACUGAAAAUACAAAAAAUUACCUGGGUAUGGUGGUGGGCAACUGUAAUCCCAGCGACUUGGGAGGCUGAGGCAGGAGAAUCACUUUAACCUGGGAGGCAGAGGUUGCAGUGAGCUGAGAUCGCACCACUGCACUCCAGCCUGGGCAACAGAGUGAGAUUCUGUCUCAAAAAAACCCAAAAAACAAAACAAACAAAAACAUUUGUUUCCCUAUAAUGAAUAGGAUUGCUUGUGUUUUAAAAGGGAGUAACCCAAUCACAGCACU